AUUCCAUUCCAAUCCACAAGCGCACAGUGUGAAUUGGCAACAGCGCACGGCCACGGCACUCGCACUACUCGCAGCAGCAGAGUGCGUUUCACGCAUUCUGUAUCCAUCGGACAACAGAAGAGUCGCAAGAAAUCUAAUAAAUUUUUGUGCGCUGCCGGUUCGCGUUCGCACUCAUCGGAUUUUACUGUAAAGUUGGUUCGAUGCAAAUUUAUGGAGUGUCUGCAGUACAUUUUUCCCCUUCGGACAUGUAGAUUUCUCCUAUGAGUUUGAUACGAAAUACUUGCAAGGGAAGUUUCGCGCGUUAAUCUUCCUCGGGAAAGUCUAACAAGAGAAAAUCAGAGUUUGGACAUUACUCGAGAGAAAAACGCAAAAGCUGAAGUUGGUCAAGAUGGAGAUCUACUACUUCGAGAGUACGUGAGCGAAAAGCAUCCUUUUGCAGCGCAAAAUAUAGAAUAUCGCAAGCUAAGUGAUGCGGAGGUCAACAACAUUCAAGUGAAAUUCAAAAUCCAGCAAUUGAGGGAUGUUUUAACCAUGAUGCAACAAUUGAAUAUUCCCAUUUAAAAUUUCUGAAGUUCAUUUUAAACCGUGCUUAUAUAUAGUGGAAAAAAACUAUCAGCUACUGAAAUUUGUAUUUUGAACAUCAUUUGAAAUUACAAAAAAUAAAACUAGCUAUUC